rnacentral:rRNA from 1 species
GAGAGUCUCGCGGCCUAUCAGCUAGUUGGCGGGGUCACGGCCCACCAAGGCGACGACGGGUAGCUGGUCUGAGAGGAUGAUCAGCCACAUUGGGACUGAGACACGGCCCAGACUCCUACGGGAGGCAGCAGUGGGGAAUAUUGCGCAAUGGCCGCAAGGCUGACGCAGCGACGCCGCGUGUGGGAUGACGGUCUUCGGAUUGUAAACCACUGUCAGGGGGAACGAAUACAGGGCCUCGAAUAGGGGACCCUGGGUGACGGUACCUCCAAAGGAAGCACCGGCUAACUCCGUGCCAGCAGCCGCGGUAAUACGGAGGGUGCGAGCGUUGUCCGGAAUCACUGGGCGUAAAGGGCGCGUAGGCGGUUCGGUAAGUUGCUGGUGAAAUCCCGGGGCUCAACUCCGGGGCUGCCGGCAAGACUGUCGGACUUGAGCACGGUAGGGGCAGAUGGAAUUCCCGGUGUAGCGGUGGAAUGCGUAGAGAUCGGGAAG